rnacentral:rRNA from 1 species
CAGUCGCCGCGGUAAUACAGAGGGUGCGAGCGUUAAUCGGAAUUACUGGGCGUAAAGCGCGCGUAGGUGGUUUGUUAAGUUGGAUGUGAAAGCCCCCGGCUCAACCUGGGAACUGCAUCCAAAACUGGCAAGCUAGAGUACGGUAGAGGGUGGUGGAAUUUCCUGUGUAGCGGUGAAAUGCGUAGAUAUAGGAAGGAACACCAGUGGCGAAGGCGACCACCUGGACUGAUACUGACACUGAGGUGCGAAAGCGUGGGGAGCAAACAGGAUUAGAUACCCCUGUAGUCCCUGUCUCUUAUAC